GUUUGUUAUAAGGAAUACUGAGACCAUGUAAGUGAAGUUGAACUCCUUGCUUAGGAAGAUUUACAAGACCUGCUUGUUCCAGCAGGCCUUUGGAGGAAACUGUAACAAACAGCAAAGUGAGACAUCAAACAACAAACGCAUGUUGUUGUUGUUUUUAAAAAAGAAGAUCCAAGAUGCCAGUGCAGACAUUCCCCAAGAUAUGAAAAUCCCAAGCAAUUGCAAAUUAGACCCAGUAUCAAUACCCAGAUGAAGUAAUUCCUGGCAAG